GAAUGCACACCCCUAUCUAUUAUUGAGAACAAUAAAUGCUUGAAAACUGAGUGGUCAUUUUUCUGAGAAGGGACGAGCAGAAUUUUUUAAAGUAGUUUUACAAUUACACCAACUGCAUUGGCUCUUAAGCUCCUUGCUGGUGAUGUGCAGCUGCAAAUUCCCUUUCAGUGUGGUUGUUAUUAAUCCUGGAACUUCAUUGUCUUGAUAUCUGAGGAGCUUUCUUUCAUUAGAUGGAAAAACUACAAUAUGUGCUUGCAUUCUGCAAGCCCCAUACAAUACCUGAACCAUAUUACACAUUUCUACUCCAGAAGUGCUUGAUUUUUUAUCAAUUGCAGCUCUGCUUUCUGUCUCUAACACCCCUUCUCAAUUUCAAUCCUCGUCGUGUUUUUGUUUAUGCAUGUGAAUAAACGAGAAUCUUUUGAUAGUUUAAAAAUUCUUCAUGUUUAGAGCUGUACAGUUCUCAGCAAGUGUCUAAUAAAGCAUUUGGGCCUUUAACAACCUGAAGGCCCCAAUUUCUUUUGCAUAUUACCAAUGUUGUUUUUUAACUAUAAAGAUAUGAAGUGUCAUUAUUUGAUAAUUAUUAGAAGAAUCACCUAAUGCAGUGAUCGGUAUCUCUUGAGGCAAUGGGAACAGUGUGGACAGCCCAAAAUAGUCGUUACAUGCAAGAAUCAGCAAGAAAUGAACAAGUUGAAGGAAGCAGCUGAGAACAUUGGUCUUCCAACUUUUGUAGUUGCUGAUGCGGGACGUACACAGGUUGCAUCAGGUUCAAGGACAGUUCUUGCAGUUGGACCGGGAAGCAAGUCAGCUGUAGAUUCAGUGACUGGAAAGCAGCGUCUCCUUUGAUGAGAUUGAUAGCUUCUAUUGGAACAUGUCUC